UACGGAGGGUGCAAGCAUUAUCCGGAUUCACUGGGUUUAAAGGGUGCGUAGGUGGGAAUGUAAGUCAGUGGUGAAAUCUCCGUGCUUAACAUGGAAACUGCCAUUGAUACUAUGUUUCUUGAAUUUUCUGGAGGUAAGCGGAAUAUGUCAUGUAGCGGUGAAAUGCUUAGAUAUGACAUAGAACACCAAUUGCGAAGGCAGCUUACUACAGGGAUAUUGACACUGAGGCACGAAAGCGUGGGGAUCAAACAGG
rnacentral:rRNA from 1 species